AAGCAGUUGGAGACUUUUAAAUCAAACCUGGAGGAGUUUAUCAGCAAGCACAAUCAAGAAGUUCAAAAGAACUCGCAGUUCAGGGUUCAGUUCCAGGAAAUGUGUGCCACCAUCGGAGUUGACCCACUUGCCUGUCAGGAUCUUCCACUAUAUAAUUGAAUAAGAACUCUUAGGGAAGUUGGCUCAAAUCAUAUGUUUUAUGGUCAUAUCUUAUCAAGUUGAUCAUAAUAAUUCCUCCCUUGUCCACAGCUGGGAAAGGGUUUUGGUCGGAGAUGCUUGGAGUCGGUGACUUCUAUUAUGAGCUUGGUGUGCAGAUUAUUGAAGUGUGCCCUGAAACCCAGAAACUGAGAGAGUACUGAAGGGACGAGGUAAAUAAGCUCAGGAUGUGAGCCAAAGAAGGGAUACGUCACAGUCGGUGAGAUCAAGGAGAGCUUGAAAUGGGUUAAGGAACGGGCUUGUCACGUCCUGGAUCCCCUGCUGAAAGAAGGCUUGGCCUGGUUGGACGCUCAGGCAGCUGGCAAGGCACAGUACUGGCUACCUGCUCUCUUCUCCGAGCUCACGUCCUGCGAUGUCACACCGGAGGAAGCCAAUCAGAUGAAAG